GGCUUCUUUUCAUUUACCAGGGCACUGUUCUUGUUAUGGAUCAGAUGGGAUACAAUGCUGAUCGCACACCAUUCACGAACAUCUCAAACACCAUCAUUACAGGUAAUCAAAAUGAAUCGAACUCGCUUGGACCAAUUGUUGAUGCUAGGGAACGUAAGAGGCAAAGGGAUAGGGAAAGAUAUGCCACGAUGACUGUUGAACAAAAGAAUGAGAAAAAUAGGAAGCGUCGUGAAGCGCGCCAAAGGAAUAAAGGACUACCGAUAAAAACACAAUCAUCCAUAGAUAGCUUUCCAGAUGACUGUAGCAC
rnacentral:misc_RNA from 1 species